rnacentral:rRNA from 1 species
UUAAGUUAGAAAGGGCGCACGGUGGAUGCCUUGGCACUAGGAGCCGAUGAAGGACGGGACGAACACCGAUAUGCUUCGGGGAGCUGUAAGCAAGCUUUGAUCCGGAGAUUUCCGAAUGGGGAAACCCACCACUCGUAAUGGAGUGGUAUCCAUAUCUGAAUUCAUAGGAUAUGAGAAGGCAGACCGGGGAACUGAAACAUCUAAGUACCCGGAGGAAGAGAAAGCAAAUGCGAUUCCCUGAGUAGCGGCGAGCGAAACGGGAUUAGCCCAAACCAAGAGGCUUGCCUCUUGGGGUUGUAGGACACUCUGUACGGAGUUACAAAGGAACGAGGUAGAUGAAGAGGUCUGGAAAGGCCCGCCAUAGGAGGUAACAGCCCUGUAGUCAAAACUUCGUUCUCUCCUGAGUGGAUCCUGAGUACGGCGGAACACGUGAAAUUCCGUCGGAAUCCGGGAGGACCAUCUCCCAAGGCUAAAUACUCCCUAGUGACCGAUAGUGAACCAGUACCGUGAGGGAAAGGUGAAAAGCACCCCGGAAGGGGAGUGAAAGAGAUCCUGAAACCGUGUGCCUACAAGUAGUCAGAGCCCGUUAACGGGUGAUGGCGUGCCUUUUGUAGAAUGAACCGGCGAGUUACGAUCCCGUGCAAGGUUAAGCAGAAGAUGCGGAGCCGCAGCGAAAGCGAGUCUGAAUAGGGCGCAUGAGUACGUGGUCGUAGACCCGAAACCAGGUGAUCUACCCAUGUCCAGGGUGAAGUUCAGGUAACACUGAAUGGAGGCCCGAACCCACGCACGUUGAAAAGUGCGGGGAUGAGGUGUGGGUAGGGGUGAAAUGCCAAUCGAACCUGGAGAUAGCUGGUUCUCUCCGAAAUAGCUUUAGGCUAGCCUCAAGGUAAGAGUCUUGGAGGUAGAGCACUGAUUGGACUAGGGGCCCCUACCGGGUUACCGAAUUCAGUCAAACUCCGAAUGCCAAUGACUUAUCCUUGGGAGUCAGACUGCGAGUGAUAAGAUCCGUAGUCGAAAGGGAAACAGCCCAGACCGCCAGCUAAGGUCCCAAAGUAUACGUUAAGUGGAAAAGGAUGUGGAGUUGCUUAGACAACCAGGAUGUUGGCUUAGAAGCAGCCACCAUUUAAAGAGUGCGUAAUAGCUCACUGGUCGAGUGACUCUGCGCCGAAAAUGUACCGGGGCUAAACGUAUCACCGAAGCUGCGGACUGUUCUUCGAACAGUGGUAGGAGAGCGUUCUAAGGGCUGUGAAGCCAGACCGGAAGGACUGGUGGAGCGCUUAGAAGUGAGAAUGCCGGUAUGAGUAGCGAAAGAGGGGUGAGAAUCCCCUCCACCGAAUGCCUAAGGUUUCCUGAGGAAGGCUCGUCCGCUCAGGGUUAGUCGGGACCUAAGCCGAGGCCGAAAGGCGUAGGCGAUGGACAACAGGUUGAUAUUCCUGUACCACCUCCUCACCAUUUGAGCAAUGGGGGGACGCAGGAGGAUAGGGUAAGCGCGGUAUUGGAUAUCCGCGUCCAAGCAGUUAGGCUGGGAAAUAGGCAAAUCCGUUUCCCAUAAGGCUGAGCUGUGAUGGCGAGCGAAAUAUAGUAGCGAAGUUCCUGAUUCCACACUGCCAAGAAAAGCCUCUAGCGAGGUGAGAGGUGCCCGUACCGCAAACCGACACAGGUAGGCGAGGAGAGAAUCCUAAGGUGAUCGAGAGAACUCUCGUUAAGGAACUCGGCAAAAUGACCCCGUAACUUCGGGAGAAGGGGUGCUCUGUUAGGGUGCAAGCCCGAGAGAGCCGCAGUGAAUAGGCCCAGGCGACUGUUUAGCAAAAACACAGGUCUCUGCGAAGCCGUAAGGCGAAGUAUAGGGGCUGACGCCUGCCCGGUGCUGGAAGGUUAAGAGGAGCGCUUAGCGUAAGCGAAGGUGCGAAUUGAAGCCCCAGUAAACGGCGGCCGUAACUAUAACGGUCCUAAGGUAGCGAAAUUCCUUGUCGGGUAAGUUCCGACCCGCACGAAAGGCGCAACGAUCUGGGCACUGUCUCAACGAGAGACUCGGUGAAAUUAUAGUACCUGUGAAGAUGCAGGUUACCCGCGACAGGACGGAAAGACCCCGUGGAGCUUUACUGCAGCCUGAUAUUGAAUGUUGGUACAGCUUGUACAGGAUAGGUAGGAGCCUUGGAAACCGGAGCGCCAGCUUCGGUGGAGGCAUCGGUGGGAUACUACCCUGGCUGUAUUGACCUUCUAACCCGCCGCCCUUAUCGGGCGGGGAGGACAGUGUCAGGUGGGCAGUUUGACUGGG